rnacentral:tRNA from 1 species
AAUAAAGUAAACUAUAAAUUUAAGUUACUGGCCUCAUAAGCCAAUAAAGGAACACACUCCCUUUAUUU